AUAUCACUGGCCUCAUUUCCCAUCUCUCUGUGCUCCUUUCAUGCUCUUAGAGACCAAAACAACUAAACCUGUGAGAGGAUCUGUUUAGGGAGGGGAAACUGCAGCAGCAGAAAGGGAUCAGCCUGUGCAACCUGUAACCCUUCUGAGGUACAGCUGGGUCCUGGCGAGCAACAGUUUGUGCUGGAAGGAUUGGAGCAAGGAGUAGAGGAUACUGUCUUUGUGAUGGCCUAUCAGGGAGAGCACCAGAGCAGAAAGACAGAAAGUACCUUCUCAACAGUCCUGUUGUCCUUAGGUGAUUCCUGAGGAUGUGAAAUGCCUUCUCCAGCUCCAUGGUCUGCUCUGCUGAUGUGAAGUUCUGCCCCUCUGGUCCCACAGUUGGCCUUCUCUUCCCAUACCCUGCAGACUGCAGCCAGAGGCAGCGGAAUGGGAAUACCUCCAGUGGUACCCCCAUGUACCUGAACAAGGCUGGCAGCAGGCCACUGCAGGUGCACUGUGACAUCACCAUGGAUGGAGAGUGUUUCAGAGGAGAGGAGCACUGGCCAGGUGGAUUUGUGCAAGCACUGGAAAAAUUAUGUGGAAGGCCUUGGAGAUCCCACUGGGGAAUUCUGGCUUGGUCUUGACAAGCUGCACAACCUCACAAGCAGCAGCCUGGCCUGCUACGAGCUCUGGAUGGGUUUGCAGGCAGCCAGUAGAUCUGUCUAUGACUUCUUCCAGAUUGCCUCCAGCAGGGGCAGAUACAAGCUGUCAGUGGGGAAUUACAGAGGCAGUGCUGGUGAGGAGUGCCUUGGACUUGUGCUGUCUCUGCUUAGCACAGGACAGGAAAUGCUGGGACUUGUGUAUUUGCUGCAGCCAGGCUUGUUAACCCAGGCGAGAUCUGCAGCCUGGCUUCCUCAUCCUCCAGCAUCACAUCUUGCCAGGUUAAAAUCCAGCUCUCUAUUUUGCUAGUCUCUUUUUAUCUCCCUGCCCAAAGAAAAACUUGAGGAGACAAGCAGUAGAUGAAUGUUUACACUCCAGAGUGGAGGCCAAAAGAGGGUCAUUGUAAGGGCUAUGCUCCUCCAAGCUCUGCUCACCAUCCCAAACCUGCCUCUGUCUGCUGCUUGUUUGAGAGCUUGCUUACAGACCAUGAACCAAACUCUCUGUGGCACUGUCCCACCUGCUGCCUUCAGCAUCUCUGUUAGCACUGCUGAAAUGAUAACACUUCUCAGUGGCCUCCAAACCCAGCAUCUCAGACACAAACCUAUCCUGCAGGCUCUCACAGCAGGCCCCAGUGCAUGGCUUCAUGCUUGGCAGCUCUUUUUUUCUGCACAGCCACAAAGGUGAACUUAUUUUCUUUCUCUGAGCAGAUAUUGACAUUCUGGACCACCAGCUACAGCCAGGGAAGAAGUAUGAGCUCACCAAAUGAUACUUGCUCAAAGACUUCCUUGUCUGAGCAGAUUGGAAGGUUACUGUCCUGUGUCUCAAUGGCCUUUGCUAUCCCAGUGCUAAGCUGAGUAGUACAUUUUAAGGAAUCCUUCCUGGGCUUUGGAGGAAGUCAAAACAUUUCCAGUAAAGGAGCUUUAAAAAAUA